rnacentral:rRNA from 1 species
GGGGCCGGGGCGGCUUACACAUGCAAGUCGAGCGGGGUGAUGGUGCUUGCACUAUCACCUAGCGGCGGACGGGUGAGUAAUGCUUAGGAAUCUGCCUAUUAGUGGGGGACAACAUUUCGAAAGGAAUGCUAAUACCGCAUACGUCCUACGGGAGAAAGCAGGGGAUCUUCGGACCUUGCGCUAAUAGAUGAGCCUAAGUCGGAUUAGCUAGUUGGUGGGGUAAAGGCCUACCAAGGCGACGAUCUGUAGCGGGUCUGAGAGGAUGAUCCGCCACACUGGGACUGAGACACGGCCCAGACUCCUACGGGAGGCAGCAGUGGGGAAUAUUGGACAAUGGGCGCAAGCCUGAUCCAGCCAUGCCGCGUGUGUGAAGAAGGCCUUAUGGUUGUAAAGCACUUUAAGCGAGGAGGAGGCUACUUUAGUUAAUACCUAGAGAUAGUGGACGUUACUCGCAGAAUAAGCACCGGCUAACUCUGUGCCAGCAGCCGCGGUAAUACAGAGGGUGCAAGCGUUAAUCGGAUUUACUGGGCGUAAAGCGCGCGUAGGCGGCUAAUUAAGUCAAAUGUGAAAUCCCCGAGCUUAACUUGGGAAUUGCAUUCGAUACUGGUUAGCUAGAGUGUGGGAGAGGAUGGUAGAAUUCCAGGUGUAGCGGUGAAAUGCGUAUAGAUCUGGAGGAAUACCGAUGGCGAAGGCAGCCAUCUGGCCUAACACUGACGCUGAGGUGCGAAAGCAUGUGGAGCACACAGGAUUAGAUACCCUGGUAGUCCAUGCCGUAGACGAUGUCUACUAGCCGUUGGGGCCUUUGAGGCUUUAGUGGCGCAGCUAACGCGAUAAGUAGACCGCCUGGCGAGUACGGUCGCAAGACUAAAACUCAAAUGAAUUGACGGGGGCCCGCACAAGCGGUGGAGCAUGUGGUUUAAUUCUAUGCACCGCGAAGAACCUUACCUGGCCUUGACAUAAUAAAAACUUUCCCCACAUGCAUUGGUGCCUUCGGGACCUACAUACAGUGCUGCAUGUCUGUCGUCAACUCCUGUCAUGACAUGUUGGUUAAAUCCGCAACGACCCCACCCUUUUCUUAUUUGCAACAAGAACGUCUGGAACUUUAAGAAACUGCGGUGACAAUUGGAGGAGGCGGGAAAACUCCGUCUUCCCGCCCUUACUACAAGGGUACGCGGGCUAGAUGGUGGGAAAAAGGUGCUCCUACCAAAGAAGCUUGUUGGAAGGCCAGCUAACCCAAUAGAACUGAAUCCGC